rnacentral:rRNA from 1 species
UAGAGUUUGAUCCUGGCUCAGGACGAACGCUGGCGGCGUGCUUAACACAUGCAAGUCGAACGGUAAGGCCCUUCGGGGUACACGAGUGGCGAACGGGUGAGUAACGCGUGAGUAACCUGCCCUUCACUCUGGGAUAACAGUUGGAAACGGCUGCUAAUACCGGAUAUUCAGCUCCUGUCGCAUGGUGGGGGUUGGAAAGUUUUGGUGGUGGAGGAUGGGCUCGCGUCCUAUCAGCUUGUUGGUGGGGUGAUGGCCUACCAAGGCGUCGACGGGUAGCCGGCCUGAGAGGGCGACCGGCCACAUUGGGACUGAGAUACGGCCCAAACUCCUACGGGAGGCAGCAGUGGGGAAUAUUGCACAAUGGGCGGAAGCCUGAUGCAGCAACGCCGCGUGCGGGAUGACGGCCUUCGGGUUGUAAACCGCUUUCAGCAGGGACGAACCGUGAGUGACGGUACCUGCAGAAGAAGCACCGGCUAACUACGUGCCAGCAGCCGCGGUGAUACGUAGGGUGCGAGCGUUGUCCGGAUUUAUUGGGCGUAAAGAGCUUGUANGCGGUUGGUUGCGUCGAAAGUGCAAACUCAGGGCUUAACUCUGAGCCUGCUUUCGAUACGGGCUGACUGGAGGAAGGUAGGGGAGAAUGGAAUUCCCGGUGGAGCGGUGGAAUGCGCAGAUAUCGGGAGGAACACCAGUGGCGAAGGCGGUUCUCUGGACCUUUCCUGACGCUGAGAAGCGAAAGCGUGGGGAGCAAACAGGCUUAGAUACCCUGGUAGUCCACGCUGUAAACGGUGGGUACUAGGUGUGGGGGACAUUCCACGUUCUCUGUGCCGUAGCUAACGCAUUAAGUACCCCGCCUGGGGAGUACGGCCGCAAGGCUAAAACUCAAAGGAAUUGACGGGGCCCCGCACAAGCGGCGGAGCAUGCGGAUUAAUUCGAUGCAACGCGAAGAACCUUACCUGGGUUUGACAUAUAUCGGAAACGUUCAGAAAUGGGCGCCCAGUAAGGUCGGUAAACAGGUGGUGCAU